CCAUCCCCAUCCCCGUCUGUUACCUUUGGAUGCACUCGCCAGAUUGGACGCGGCUAACCAUCAUCGGCGGCGCCGCCCACCCGCGGCCAACCACCACCGCAGCAAGUCGCCGCCGGAGCGGAUCCCACCUCGCUGCUCUGCGGCCCAUCGAGGAGAGCGAGAAGACCCUCGCCCUCGCUCGAACCGGCGAGGCAAAGCCGCACCGGCCUCCUCCGCUGGCGCCGGCGCUACCCGGAUGACCACGGCCUCUCUCCAUCGACGCAUUUCGCACACGCGAUGGGCACAGGUAUGGCCGCCGACGCCGACGCCGACGCCUCCGCAGGGCCGCGCUCGAUGUACCGCCGUCGGCAUCGCUCUCGGGCGGAUCCCAGCCUUCCCCAUGGAGCUCAUGCCCUCAGCAAGCUCUGGCCCACCCCCACCCCCACCCCCAUCCGGACCACUGCACUCCUCGACGCUGAUGAUUUUGGCAGAGAUUCAGACAGGGGACAAAAACUGGACCGCCCCCCCUGGCUCGGGAGCAUCGGUGCUCAGUGUCAAGUCUGCACACUGCCAAGCAAAUAGCACGUUGCAAUGAACCAAUAACCCUGCACUGCAAUUUUCAGCAGGCAGAGAUUCAGGCAGGGGGCCAAACUUGCAGGCGGCUGGGAUUGUCACCACUCGCGAGCAUCAGUGCUCAAUGUCAAUUCUGCACACUGCCGAGCAAAUAGUGCGUUGCAAGUAUGGUUCAAUUUUCAUUAGGAUUGCCGAUUAGUGUGCUGGCUUGUUUGAUGGUAGCUACUACUUCAAAUUUGUGUCCUCAGAGUACUUCAAACAGCUCCGAGCAAGGAUUAGUCGCAUGAAAAUGCUGGAUGGCGCACAAGGAGGGGCGUGCCAGCGACAUGGGAGAACGCGGUGUGCGGGAGGUACAUCGAUGUCUCUGAUGCUGCUUGGGGUAACUCCUGUCCGGCAGUUGCAGCGGACUUCCCGAUAGAAACUUCACCCAUUGCUGUUGACCAGCACCUAGGUUCUGACAGAUGGUAGCAAAAAAGGACACAUACAAUGUUCUUAAGCAGCAUUUUUUGAAGAACGGCGAGCCAAUUUGGUUGUGUUAUCUUUCAUGGUCUCGGCAAUUCCACUUUGUAUGUGUAUCUCAGGUGUUAGUCUGGUCUCUAGUUUCAAUGCUAGAUUUGGUUUGGACUGUAAACAGUAUGAAAUUGUGAUGUAAAAAAUCUGGCUGCUGCCAUACAUUUGUCUAAAUCCCUUACUUGAAUGUGGAAAUCAGAUUAUUUGGUUGCUGCCAUACAUUUGUCUAAAUCCCUUACUUAGUGCAGAAACAGUGGUAUUUUAUUGC